GAAUAAUUCCACAGUCUGUCGCACACAGGAACUACCCUGAGAGUGCACAUGGCAGCCCAGGAAGAGGACAGGUUAUGACUGGCCCUUGUGCUCCAUGUGUUUACUGUCCUCCCCUGCUCCCUCCGUCCUGCUCACACACCCAGGGACAAAGGUUUCUGCAAAUGGACUGCACCAUAAGCAGCCUUCACCUGCAACUGCCUGCAGGACAAAGCUCAGGGGAAACCUCCAGAGAAGCAGUGUGGCCUAGAAGAACAAAUUCAGAAGGGAAGCAGUAGUCAAAUGUAGUGUUCUCCUAAAAAUCUGCAAAUGCCACUGAGCCAAGAGAGUGAGCUGAAAGAACCCUGAAUUGUCCUCAGUGGGAGACUGUUGGGAAGUGGGAUGGAAAUAAUGUCCAUUUUCCAAGAUGAAGGAAGAACAUGGAGAAAAUCACAGAUACAGAUGCUGUGGGGAGAAAAGUCUGCUGUGAUAAGAUGAUGGACCAGCACCACACCCUCUCUUCUUGUUGCCCAAAGCAAUAACCAAGGACCCUUUCUGGCACUUUCAUUUUUAUUUUGUAAGCAAGUAUAAAGUCAUUUUACAGUUCCA